CCAGCAGUUCGGCUGGGCACUCUAAAGGGACUGCCGGUGUUAAACCGGAGGAAGUGGGGGAUGGCGUCAAGUCCUCAUGGCCUUAUGACCAGGGCUACACACGUACUACAAUGGCCGAUACAAAGGGCAGCGACACUGCGAGGUGAAGCCAAUCCCGUAAAAUACGGUCUCAGUCCGGAUUGGAGUCUGCAACUCGACUCCAUGAAGUUGGAAUCGCUAGUAAUCGUGGAUCAGCAUGCCACGGUGAAUACGUUCCCGGGCCUU
rnacentral:rRNA from 1 species